CCAAUCCAAUCUAUUUAAUAAAUAGGUUAUCCAAUUUUUUUAAAAAAUAGAACCUGACCUAUUGAUGACCCUUAUUUUUUAAAAAAAAAGCAAAGGGAAAAAAAUUUAAAAACCUCUUCGAUCUCCACCCUCGCCACAUCUCCACUCGACCCACCUCUUUGCCCUCACCACAUCUCCACCUGACCACGUCUCCGCCCAUGCCGUGCUCUUGGCCACCUCUUCGCCAUCGCCAAUCUGCUCUCUCACCAUCUCUGGCUUCGUCUGACUAGAGCUCUCAACUAUCUCCGGCCCUGCUCUUGACUAUGCUUUCGGCCACCUCCAUCUCACAUGGAGCUCUCAUCUGCCUUUAGUUCCACCCUUGAUCGAGCUCUCAGGAGUGGAGGAAUUUGAGCCUUGAGGGCGGCGAGAGAAGAGGGGAGGACUCCG
rnacentral:lncRNA from 1 species